rnacentral:lncRNA from 1 species
UAAGAGAGAGUGAAAAUGAAGAAACAAAAUUCUGAAGUAAUAAAGGAGAGGGAAACAACCAUAAGCAAAUUGAUAAUUUCAUCUAAAAGGGGUUUCAAGGGAGUUCGGAAGUUUCAAAGAGCCUAUGCUUACCCAAGGGUAAGCUUUGGGCAUGCACAGCAAUGGAGGAUGCUGGCAUGCCAAUAAGACUACCAGAAUACACAAUAUUAGAGGUUUGAAUCCCGUGGGAUCAAGCUUGAGUCAUGGGCAAUAACAUUCAGUACUGCCAUGCCUCAAACAAACCAUAGCAUUGAACACGUUGGGGGUCGUGGCUUAGGAUUUAUAGUAAAUUCAGAAUAGGUAGAAGGAAAUUGUAGCAUGCUAAAAUAAGUAUUGAACUAAACACAAGCAAUAGAUAGACAUGAAAGUAAAAGUAUUAAGUAAACACAUUGUGGUGAUGCUAGAAUCUUAAUCAUAACAUACCAGUUCAGAGAAAUAAAAAUAUAGUAAAGGCAGGUAGCUGUACUUUGAAAACAGGCAACAGUACAAAUGACAAGAGAGAAUAUUAUUUAAGUAUUAGUGUGAGUUCAGAAAACUUACAGUGUUCGUGUGUGCCAGUGUUAAUGAAAAUCCAGGAAUUUAUAGUUUGAAAAUAGGCAAAAAUUAAGGCAAGAAAUUAUUAUGGAACUGUGUACCAAUUAAAAUCAGUCAGUAUAAGAACUUCCUUUAAUUAAAGAGUUUAAACUUAAAUGGUAUGGAUGAAAACUUUAAAGAAAAGAAAUCAAGUAAUCAUCUUGUGCAUAGUAGGCAAUUAGGGUAAGCACAUAGGUGUUUAAUAUAAGAGAAGAAUCCAGAGUAAAAUUGCAGAAUAUAGAAACAAUCAGUACAUAGUAAAUCAAGGAGUCAGAGAUUUGAAAUUACUGAUUUGGGGAGGAUGACAUGUGCUCCCAUGAAUAAUAAAAAAAUCAAGUAAGAAAAAGGAUGAUUGAAAGUCUAAGGAAAGUUUUCAAAUGAACCCAAGAAAUAGGAUAAUUAGUGAGGCAUAACAAGAAAAGAGUCAAUCACUUAACACAUGAAUGCAAUCGAAAUUACACAAGGAGGUUUAAAAUCAUUCCCAAAAUUGAAGGUCUUUUCAAAGGAAAAUUCUGCUUAUAAAAGAGUACAUAAGUAUUAGGAAUCCAAGACUGAAUUUAGGACAAAGAGAAGCAUCAUGCAAUCACAAAGAUAGUAAGUAGCGGACAAUAGGAACAUGGUCGUCAUCUAAGUUAGUCUUAGUAACUCAGCAAUACAGAAAAGAGGGAGCAUCAAAUAGUAUGCUAAAAAGGUUAAGUAAAAGACCUUAUAGAGAUAAGCAGGAAGUCAGAAUCAUAUGAAGAAACAAAAGAUUUUGAAAUUCAGUCGAGCAACAAGUAAAGCUACUUCAGAAACUUGAAUAGGUUCAAAGGAAUUAGGGUUUUGAAACCCAUUGAAUUGAGAGAAUGAUUAACUAGUAAAUCACAUAACAAAUAAUCUUGGAACUCGCAUAAACCCCAAAAUAUAGGGUUUUCACCAUUAAUCGAGUAUAGAAAUGAAAACAAGUAAAUCAGACAAAGAACACUAACAAAUAAAUUCAGAAAUCUCAAAGAGGACUAAGACUUUUAACAUGCACACUCUAGUAGCAGAACAACAUGAAAAACACAGUACAACAUGUUAAAAAUCAGAAAAUCUUUGAAAUAACAUAACAUAACCAUAAAGCAGAAAAGGUAAAAGGGGUUUUGAAGGUAGAGCCUUGAAAGAAAUCUCAAGAAAAUGUUUAAAAGUUUAGGGAAAAUAUAGGUUUAAAACAGAUCUAAAAGAAUCGAAAGCACCUCGAAGGUUAGGAUUUCAGAAGAACCCUAGAUGGUUUGAAUGUCUUGGAAAUCACAGAUCUAAGUAGGAGAAGUCAAGAUCAAGCUUGAAUAGCCAUGGCUGGCCGGAGCAAAGUCGAAUAUGGCUUGAGACAGCCAUAACACUGAAAUCAUCAAGGGCCUGGACCAAAUUUCUUCAAGUUCUAUGAUAAUCAGGAAGGUAGAAGUCAUAGGAGGCAGGUACAUGUCUUUAAUUGCUUUGGAAGCCAUGGAUUCAGGUGAUUUUAGGGUGGAAGCGGAGGGAGGCAGCUAGGGUUUGAGGGGAGUCUGAGAGAACAUUGGGAAAGAAU